AGACUUUUAACAAAACAAUAGCAAAGUGCGGAAGUUUAUACAUGUCUCUGCCCAACAUCUGAUGUCACCACUCACGGACUACUAAGGAAAACUAAAAACAUCAGUCUGAAAGAAAAUACAAAAGAGUUUGUCUCGAUACAAAUAAAUAAACUGAAAUAACAUAGAUGAGACUCCGAGCCCGCGGAUGUCAGCUAAGCUACCUAAGAGUCUCUGGACUGAAGGUCUGCUCCCGGUCUAAAACUGCUGAGGCGGUCCAUAAGCUGUCUCCUGACCCGUGCACAAAAGGCACUGAAGUGUAGCAUCAGCACAACUGACCCCAUAUGCUGGUAAGUGCCUGGCCUAACCCCGCCGAGGUAGUGACGAGACUAGACAGGACCUACCACAAAUAACAUGUACAGAUAUAUGCAAUAACAGGAGAAUCGCUAUUCUAAACAGCUAAAAAGGGAGGGAAACAUGUUGUGGGGUACAACAGUUCAAAUACAAAAAUCAGCUAAAAGAAUGAAAACUGAGCGAAUAACAACUGAUAAAGAAAUACCGGAAAGCUUAAUGCACUAAAUCAAUAUACUCAGCCCAUAUUCCUGUUGCGGGCCGCAACCCGUUCCUCAAUAUUUAUUACCGUUGCGGCGUGCAAUCCGAUCCUCGACAAUUAAUCCGUUGCGGCAUGCAACCUGAUCCUCAAUAUUGGGUACUGUUGCGGCGUGCAACCCAAUCCUCAACAUUUACCAACAAAACUCACCCAACAUCAUCCGCAACUCAAGUGCGGGGGGAGUAACAUCAAAACAAAGAAUUCCCGACGAGGGAAUAUAACUAACAACUCAAAAUAUCCCGGCAAUAGAGAAUUUAAUAUAUAUUUAAAUCCCGGCAAGGGAAAUGAUCACAGAACUUUCAUUUCUAAACACAUUAGCUACCAACAAGUUAUAAACCAAGCCAAUGCUCCAAAAUUAUACGAAAUCAUUAUUUGUCCUCAACCGUUCAUAUCAUGUGGACUAAAUCAAUUCAACACGAAUUUAUAUCAUAUCAUUCGAAAUAAUGCAAUUUAAGACCCACGGUCAUGCUAGACUCGGGUGCAUAAUUAACCGUCACCAUGCCUAUGCAUCAACUCCACAUAGCACAUAGCAAAUAAUGUUCUAAUCAUAUUCCCUCAAGCCAAAGUUAGAUUAAACACUUACCUCGAUCCGAAAAUAGCAGUCAAACCUCUAACACUGUCUUUCCUCUAGAAUCCAACUCCGAAAUAACAAUAUCUAGCCAUAAUUAGUUCAAUAUUAUUAAUAAUGGCUUAAAAACACAAUUCCAUAGCCUAGAAAUAAAUUUCCUAUCAUUCUUCCAAAAAUACCAAAAUUCGACACCGGGCCCACAUAAUCCAAACUCGAGGCUCCAAAACCCAAUCAUCCAUAAGUCCACGGGUUCAAAUAUGGAGUAUAACAAAUAGUGGAAUGAAAUGGAACAACGCCAAUUAGCUUUGUUUGAAUAAAAACUAGAGUGAAGUUCGAUGACAAAAUUGCAAAGGCAGUAAUCAAAUUCAAGCAGACUUCAUAAGUUCUUUGGGUUUAUGUUCAAACUUAGUCUAUUGCUCUAUAUUUUUAUUGCCUAUCUUGUUACAUCUUAUUGAAAAUAAACAGAUUCCAAGCAGAACUACGAACCUCAAACAAAACCUCGACGAACAAUGACGACCUCGACGUCUCGAUAACCAAAAAACUCACGCACACUGUCACUGUUUCCCACUAAAUUUUCGGCCAGUUGUGUGUGUUUUAAGAGAGGGAGAAGGGCUGGUUCGAGCAGCCUGGGAAUGGUGGUUCAGGGGUGGUCGUUACUGGACAGUUGGUGGUUGACGAGCUGGGCGCUGGUGGACUGGUGCUGG
rnacentral:lncRNA from 1 species